rnacentral:rRNA from 1 species
UCAGUUCGGAUUGCAGGCUGCAACCCGCCUGCAUGAAGCCGGAAUCGCUAGUAAUCGCGGAUCAGAAUGCCGCGGUGAAUACGUUCCCGGGUCUUGUACACACCGCCCGUCACACCAUGGGAGUCGAUAACACCCGAAGCCUGUGAGCUAACCGUAAGGGGGCAGCAGUCGAAGGUGGGGUUGGUGAUUGGGGUGAAGUCGUAACAAGGUAAC